rnacentral:lncRNA from 1 species
AGGGAGUUUCUGAAGAUGACACCAAUUAGGGAGGCUGCUGAAGAGCUUGCUGAUUUGCCCUUCAGUCGGGUGCACAGGCACAGUCUGUGCAGCACUGAUUUACAGCUGGGAGGACGCUGCCUGCGAGGACACAAAUGGGGACAGACACAGGCAAAUACUGGCCCUUCCUGCCCUGCUGAGAGCCCUGGGACACAGCAUUAACAGGAGCAAGCCCUCCCACGGCCGUGCCCUGGAGUUGACCAUUGGGAAGGCAGCCGAGGUUCUCACCGUCCUGGUUGUUCAUUUCUCCGUGCAUUCAACUAAUAGGUGAGGGACUUGGAUAUGCCAGGCAUUGCUCUGGGUGCUGCAGAUUCACUCAACAGAAAACAAAAUCUCUUUUCAAGGAAAUUCCAUUCCAGUGCAGAAAGACAGAAAAAUGGAUAAAUGUACAACGUGUCGGGCAUUGGUAAGCGCUAAGAGAAAAACUGAUAAAGGAAAAAGGGCCUCCAGGAGUUCCCACCGUGGCUCAGUGGUUAACGAAUCCGACAGGGAACCAUGAGGUUGCGGGUUCAAUCCCUGGUCUUGCUCAGUGGGUUAAGGAUCCGGUGUUGCCGUGAGCUGUGGUAUCGGUCACGGAUGUAGCUCGGAUCCCGUGUUGCUGUGGCUCUGGCGUAGGCCAGUGGCUACAGCUCCAAUUAGACCCCCAGCCUGGGAACCUCCAUAUGCCAUGGGACUGGCCCUAGAAAAGGCAAAACGACCAAAAAAAAAGGGGGGGGGUCUCUGGAUAAGGGGACAGUUGAGCAGGUGCCUGUGGACAUCUGGACAGCAGGUGCAAAAGCCUUGGGACAGUGGAGAAAGAGAGGACACCUAGGAGAGAAUGUCCGGAGAGAGGACAGGAGUGAACAAAGAGGACUCGAAGGGUAGCAUGUGAGGUUGCGGGCACUACCUGGAUGCAGCUGAUCACUCACCGGUGGAAGAAGGACACAGCACACAGGAUUCCCCAACAUUGUGAAUUGCCAAACUCUCUGGCAUCAAAGAAACAGCCAUGACAACCCCACUGUGAAGGAAAGGGGCUUCACUGCAGUGCUUGGAAAGGUGGGAGGCUGAAAAGGGAGGCAAGGACCUUGUACACAUUAUCUCAUCCAAUCCUUAGGAAGUACAUACAUCUGCAUCUACAGAUGGAGAGACCAAGACGAAGACAACAAUGCUGGGUAAAAUACCCAAUGUUUUCAAAAAUACCCAUAGGGGAAACUCUUUGUAAUUUGGGAUGGAAAAAGCCCUACCAGGCAAGAUGGAAGACUCAGAAGCCCCAGGGAAAAAGACUGACACAUUUGAAUUCAUAAACAUGUAAAUGUCUACCUGAUCAAAGAUAAACAAAGACAAAACCCAAAACUACACACACAUACACCUAAGGGACAAAAACAAAACCCAUUUGAAAACAAAAGUAAAAGCAAUACCCAUGAGAAAAGAUUUACAACAUCAGUAACAUAGGGUUAGCUAUAACAUGCAAAGAAUCCGUUCAAAUCAAUAAGAAAAAGACAAGCACACCCCCCCCCUUUUUUUUUGGCUGCACCCACAGCAGGUGAAAGUUCCUGGGCUGGGAUCAAACCUGCACCACAGUUGUGGUCUACACCACAGCUGCAGCAAUGCUGAUCCUUAACCCACUGCAAUCACAUGAGAACUUCCAAGAACCAUUUUUUUAACAAGCUAAAACUAUGGAUAUCAACUAACACAAAGCAGAAAUUCAGGACCCCUGUGAAAGGAUGCUCACUUUCCCAGCAUUCAGAGGAAUACAGGUGAACAAGGACAGCACAUUUUCAUUUUGGGGAUUAAGAAAAUGGAAGGGUCCUCGCUUUUGGUGCUGGGGAGAGGGUGGGAAAUAAAUCUACUCUGAGUACUGAAUCUGGCCUUUUUGGAACAGGAUUUGGCAGAAUCUGUCAAAAUGUUGCAUGGGUUAUGUAUCCCACAACUCAGUCAUCCUAGGCUCUACCAAGUGCUCAUUGCAACAGAAAGAAAAAGACAUGAAAGCAACAACUCAAUGUCCAUCAGCACUGGAUUACUUAUCCAGGCUAUCAAAUACAAAGAAGCCUUUUAAAAAGAAUGAAGUAGAACUAUAUGUAUUAGCAUUGAAGAUUUUCCCCAAAAAACUGAGGUUACAGAACAAUAUACAUAACACAUUACUCCAUAUGUGCGUAUACAUAUGUGGAUGUCAAUGCAAAGAAAAAAAGCUAGAAGUAUAUACUCCAAACUGUUCUCAGCAGUUAGACUUUGGGAGGGGGGUUCACAGUGGGCAGAGGAGGGGAAAAACAGAGCCCCCCACUCUACUCAGUGCUUCUAAGGAAACACUAAGCUGUUCAGAUACACUGAUGUUUCUAAUUGGGAAUUCACAUAUUGGUCUAAAGGUUUUCAAAAACUAGAAGAGGAGGAUAUUUGCUCAAACCCUUCUAACAGCACAUAAGAGAAACCCAAUCCAAAGUUACUGAAACAAAGAAAGGAAGUGAUGGCUCUUAGACUUGGGAAGCGACACUGACUGAUGCAGGGGCUAAGACAGCAUGGCCAAACCUCUGUCUCCUGUCCCAGCUCUCACUUCACCUGCCUCUGU